rnacentral:rRNA from 1 species
UACGUAGGGUGCGAGCGUUGUCCGGAAUUACUGGGCGUAAAGAGCUCGUAGGUGGUUUGUCGCGUUGUCCGUGAAAACUCACAACUCAAUUGUGGGCGUGCGGGCGAUACGGGCAGACUGGAGUACUGCAGGGGAGACUGGAAUUCCUGGUGUAGCGGUGGAAUGCGCAGAUAUCAGGAGGAACACCGGUGGCGAAGGCGGGUCUCUGGGCAGUAACUGACGCUGAUGCGCGAAAGCGUGGGGAGCGAUCCGG